rnacentral:lncRNA from 1 species
UGGAAACCCCUGCUUGCUUCUGCAGUCCAUGUGAGUGGUUUGAUAUUCCCCAACCUUUCACCUUCAGUCUGUGGAUGUCUUUUCCUAUGAGAUGAGUCUCUUGGAGGCAGCAUAUUGUUGGUUUUUUAAAAAAUCCAAUCUGCUAGUCUAUGUCUUUUGACUGGUGAGUUUAGGCCAUUAACAUUCAGGGUUAUUAUUGAGAUAUGAUUGGUAUUAUCAG